UACGGGGGGGGCAAGCGUUGUUCGGAAUUACUGGGCGUAAAGCGUGCGCAGGCGGUUGUGCAAGACAGAUGUGAAAUCCCCGGGCUUAACCUGGGAACUGCAUUUGUGACUGCACGGCUAGAGUGUGUCAGAGGGGGGUAGAAUUCCACGUGUAGCAGUGAAAUGCGUAGAUAUGUGGAGGAAUACCGAUGGCGAAGGCAGUCCCCUGGGAUAACACUGACGCUCAUGCACGAAAGCGUGGGGAGCAAACAGG
rnacentral:rRNA from 1 species